UACGUAGGUGGCGAGCGUUGUCCGGAUUUACUGGGCGUAAAGAGCGCGCAGGCGGUCGUACAAGUCGCGUGUGAAAGCCCCUGGCUCAACUGGGGAGGGUCACGCGAUACUGUUCGACUCGAAGGCAGGAGAGGGAAGUGGAAUUCCCGGUGUAGUGGUGAAAUGCGUAGAUAUCGGGAGGAGCACCAGUGGCGAAGGCGACUUCCUGGCCUGUUCUUGACGCUGAGGCGCGAAAGCUAGGGUAGCAAACGGG
rnacentral:rRNA from 1 species